rnacentral:rRNA from 1 species
CGGACGGGUGAGUAAUGUCUGGGAAACUGCCCGAUGGAGGGGGAUAACUACUGGAAACGGUAGCUAAUACCGCAUAAUGUCUACGGACCAAAGCGGGGGACCUCCGGGCCUCGCGCCACCAGAUGAACCCAUAUGGGAUUAGCUAGUAGGUGAGGUAACGGCUUACCUAGGCGACGAUCCCUAGCUGGUCUGAGAGGAUGAUCAGCCACACUGGAACUGAGACACGGUCCAG